rnacentral:rRNA from 5 species
CCUGAUCCCAUCCCGAACUCAGCAGUGAAACGAUGCAUCGCCGAUGGUAGUGUGGGGUUUCCCCAUGUGAGAGUAGGUCAUCGUCAAGA